GAUGAACGCUGGCGGCGUGCCUAACACAUGCAAGUCGAGCGAUUCUCUUCGGAGAAGAGCGGCGGACGGGUGAGUAACGCGUGGGUAACCUGCCCUGUACACACGGAUAACAUACCGAAAGGUAUGCUAAUACGAGAUAAUAUGCUUUUAUCGCAUGGUAGAAGUAUCAAAGCUCCGGCGGUGCAGGAUGGACCCGCGUCUGAUUAGCUAGUUGGUAAGGUAACGGCUUACCAAGGCGACGAUCAGUAGCCGACCUGAGAGGGUGAUCGGCCACAUUGGAACUGAGACACGGUCCAAACUCCUACGGGAGGCAGCAGUGGGGAAUAUUGCACAAUGGGCGAAAGCCCGAUGCAGCAACGCCGCGUGAGCGAUGAAGGCCUUCGGGUCGUAAAGCUCUGUCCUCAAGGAAGAUAAUGACGGUACUUGAGGAGGAAGCCCCGGCUAACUACGUGCAGCCGCCGCCGUAA
rnacentral:rRNA from 1 species